rnacentral:rRNA from 1 species
UACGGAGGGGGCUAGCGUUGUUCGGAAUUACUGGGCGUAAAGCGCGCGUAGGCGGACCUGCAAGUCGGGGGUGAAAGCCCAAGGCUCAACCUCGGAACUGCCUUCGAUACUGCGGGUCUCGAGUCCGGGAGAGGUGAGUGGAAUUCCUAGUGUAGAGGUGAAAUUCGUAGAUAUUAGGAAGAACACCAGUGGCGAAGGCGGCACACUGGCCCGGUACUGACGCUGAGGCGGCGAAAGCGUGGGGAGCAAACAGG